rnacentral:rRNA from 1 species
UGGCGGCGUGCUUAACACAUGCAAGUCGAACGAUGAAGCCUAGCUUGCUAGGUGGAUUAGUGGCGAACGGGUGAGUAAUACGUGAGUAACCUACCUUUAACUCUGGGAUAAGCCUGGGAAACUGGGUCUAAUACCGGAUACGACCGAUCUCCGCAUGGGGUGUUGGUGGAAAGCGUUAUGUAGUGGUUAUAGAUGGGCUCACGGCCUAUCAGCUUGUUGGUGAGGUAACGGCUCACCAAGGCGACGACGGGUAGCCGGCCUGAGAGGGUGACCGGCCACACUGGGACUGAGACACGGCCCAGACUCCUACGGGAGGCAGCAGUGGGGAAUAUUGCACAAUGGGCGCAAGCCUGAUGCAGCGACGCCGCGUGAGGGAUGACGGCCUUCGGGUUGUAAACCUCUGUUAGCAGGGAAGAAGAGAAAUUGACGGUACCUGCAGAGAAAGCGCCGGCUAACUACGUGCCAGCAGCCGCGGUAAUACGUAGGGCGCGAGCGUUGUCCGGAAUUAUUGGGCGUAAAGAGCUUGUAGGCGGUUUGUCGCGUCUGCUGUGAAAGGCCGGGGCUUAACCCCGUGUAUUGCAGUGGGUACGGGCAGACUAGAGUGCAGUAGGGGAGACUGGAAUUCCUGGUGUAGCGGUGGAAUGCGCAGAUAUCAGGAGGAACACCGAUGGCGAAGGCAGGUCUCUGGGCUGUAACUGACGCUGAGAAGCGAAAGCAUGGGGAGCGAACAGGAUUAGAUACCCUGGUAGUCCAUGCCGUAAACGUUGGGCACUAGGUGUGGGGGACAUUCCACGUUUUCCGCGCCGUAGCUAACGCAUUAAGUGCCCCGCCUGGGGGAGUACGGCCGCAAGGCUAAAACUCAAAGAAAUUGACGGGGGCCCGCACAAGCGGCGGAGCAUGCGGAUUAAUUCGAUGCAACGCGAAGAACCUUACCAAGGCUUGACAUAUACUGGACCGCAUCAGAGAUGGUGUUUCCCUUCGGGGCUGGUAUACAGGUGGUGCAUGGUUGUCGUCAGCUCGUGUCGUGAGAUGUUGGGUUAAGUCCCGCAACGAGCGCAACCCUCGUUCUAUGCUGCCAGCACGUUAUGGUGGGGACUCAUAGGAGACUGCCGGGGUCAACUCGGAGGAAGGUGGGGAUGACGUCAAAUCAUCAUGCCCCUUAUGUCUUGGGCUUCACGCAUGCUACAAUGGCCGGUACAGAGGGUUGCGAUACUGUGAGGUGGAGCUAAUCCCUAAAAGCCGGUCUCAGUUCGGAUUGGGGUCUGCAACUCGACCCCAUGAAGUCGGAGUCGCUAGUAAUCGCAGAUCAGCAACGCUGCGGUGAAUACGUUCCCGGGCCUUGUACACACCGCCCGUCAAGUCACGAAAGUUGGUAACACCCAAAGCCGGUGGCCUAACCUUUUUGGAGGGAGCCGUCUAAGGUGGGAUUGGCGAUUGGGACUAAG